rnacentral:rRNA from 1 species
UNUGAAGUUAAAGGCUGUGGCUUAAUCAUAGUACGCUUUGGAAACUGUUUAACUUGAGUGCAGAAGGGGAGAGUGGAAUUCAAUGUGUAGCGGUGAAAUGCGUAGAUAUAUGGAGGAACACCGGUGGCGAAAGCGGCUCUCUGGUCUGUAACUGACGCUGAGGCUNGAAAGCGUGGGGAGCGAACAGGAUUAGAUACCCUGGUAGUNCACGCCGUAAACGAUGAGUGCUAGGUGUUAGGCCCUUUCCGGGGCUUAGUGCCGCAGCUAACGCAUUAAGCACUCCGCCUGGGGAGUACGACCGCAAGGUUGAAACUCAAAGGAAUUGACGGGGGCCCGCACAAGCGGUGGAGCAUGUGGUUUAAUUCGAAGCAACGCGAAGAACCUUACCAGGUCUUGACAUCCCGAUGCCCGCUCUAGAGAUAGAGUUUUACUUCGGUACAUCGGUGACAGGUGGUGCAUGGUUGUCGUCAGCUCGUGUCGUGAGAUGUUGGGUUAAGCCCCGCAACGAGCGCAACCCUUAUUGUUAGUUGCCAUCAUUCAGUUGGGCACUCUAGCGAGACUGCCGGUAAUAAACCGGAGGAAGGUGGGGAUGACGUCAAAUCAUCAUGCCCCUUAUGACCUGGGCUACACACGUGCUACAAUGGCUGGUACAACGAGUCGCAAGUCGGUGACGGCAAGCUAAUCUCUUAAAGCCAGUCUCAGUUCGGGUUGUAGGCUGCAACUCGCCUACAUGAAGUCGGAAUCGCUAGUAAUCGCGGAUCAGCACGCCGCGGUGAAUACGUUCCCGGGCCUUGUACACACCGCCCGUCACACCACGAGAGUUUGUAACACCCGAAGUCGGUGAGGUANCCUUUUAGGAGCCA